rnacentral:tRNA from 1 species
GGAAUGGUUUUCAUUGGUAAGUUAAGGCAAUUGCUAAUUGUUCGGGAAAUAUCCCUUAGGUGUUCGACUCACCUCCAUUCCG